GAUGAACGCUGGCGGCGUGCCUAAUACAUGCAAGUCGAGCGAACGGACGAGAAGCUUGCUUCUCUGAUGUUAGCGGCGGACGGGUGAGUAACACGUGGAUAACCUACCUAUAAGACUGGGAUAACUUCGGGAAACCGGAGCUAAUACCGGAUGAUAUUUUGAACCGCAUGGUUCAAAAGUGAAAGACGGUCUUGCUGUCACUUAUAGAUGGAUCCGGGCUGCAUGAGCUAGUUGGUAAGGUAACGGCUUACCAAGGCAACGAUGCAUAGCCGACCUCAGAGGGUGAUCGGCCACACUGGAACUGAGACACGGUCCAGACGCCUACGGGAGGCAGCAGUAGGGAAUCUUCCGCAAUGGGCGAAAGCCUGACGGAGCAACGCCGCGUGAGUGAUGAAGGUCUUCGGAGCGUAAAACUCUGUUAUGAGGGAAGAACAUAUGUGUAAGUAACUGUGCACAUCUUGACGGUACCUAAUCAGAAAGCCACGGCUAACUACGUG
rnacentral:rRNA from 1 species